CAGCCGCCGCGGGAAUACGAAGGGUGCAAGCGUUAAUCGGAAUUACUGGGCGUAAAGCGUGCGUAGGCGGUGAGUUAAGUCUGCUGUGAAAUCCCCGGGCUCAACCUGGGAAUGGCAGUGGAUACUGGCUCGCUAGAGUGUGUCAGAGGAUGGUGGAAUUCCCGGUGUAGCGGUGAAAUGCGUAGAGAUCGGGAGGAACAUCAGUGGCGAAGGCGGCCAUCUGGGACAACACUGACACUGAGGCACGAAAGCGUGGGGAGCAAACAGGAUUAGAUACCCCUGUAGUCCCGUCUCUUAUACA
rnacentral:rRNA from 1 species